AUUGAACGCUGGCGGCAGGCCUAACACAUGCAAGUCGAGCGGAUGAAGGGAGCUUGCUCCUGGAUUCAGCGGCGGACGGGUGAGUCAUGCCUAGGAAUCUGCCUGGUAGUGGGGGAUACCGUCCGGAAACGGGCGCUAAUACCGCAUACGUCCUGAGGGAGAAAGUGGGGGAUCUUCGGACCUCACGCUAUCAGAUGAGCCUAGGUCGGAUUAGCUAGUUGGUGGGGUAACGGCCUACCAAGGCGACGAUCCGUAACUGGUCUGAGAGGAUGAUCAGUCACACUGGAACUGAGACACGGUCCAGACUCCUACGGGAGGCAGCAGUGGGGAAUAUUGGACAAUGGGCGAAAGCCUGAUCCAGCCAUGCCGCGUGUGUGAAGAAGGUCUUCGGAUUGUAAAGCACUUUAAGUUGGGAGGAAGGGCAGUAAGUUAAUACCUUGCUGUUUUGACGUUACCAACAGAAUAAGCACCGGCUAACUUCGUG
rnacentral:rRNA from 1 species